rnacentral:rRNA from 1 species
UACAGAGGUCCCAAGCGUUGUCCGGAAUUAUUGGGCGUAAAGAGCUCGUAGGCGGUCUGUCGCGUCGGAUGUGAAAACCCAGGGCUCAACCCUGGGCCUGCAUUCGAUACGGGCAGACUAGAGUUCGGUAGGGGAGACUGGAAUUCCUGGUGUAGCGGUGAAAUGCGCAGAUAUCAGGAGGAACACCGGUGGCGAAGGCGGGUCUCUGGGCCGUAACUGACGCUGAGGAGCGAAAGCGUGGGGAGCGAACAGG